AGUGAACGCUGGCGGUAGGCCUAACACAUGCAAGUCGAACGGCAGCACAGUAAGAGCUUGCUCUUACGGGUGGCGAGUGGCGGACGGGUGAGGAAUACAUCGGAAUCUACUUUUUCGUGGGGGAUAACGUAGGGAAACUUACGCUAAUACCGCAUACGACCUACGGGUGAAAGCAGGGGAUCUUCGGACCUUGCGCGAUUGAAUGAGCCGAUGUCGGAUUAGCUAGUUGGCGGGGUAAAGGCCCACCAAGGCGACGAUCCGUAGCUGGUCUGAGAGGAUGGUCAGCCACACUGGAACUGAGACACGGUCCAGACUCCUACGGGAGGCCGCAGUGGGGAAUAUUGGACAAUGGGCGCAAGCCUGAUCCAGCCAUACCGCGUGGGUGACGAAGGCCUUCGGGUUGUAAAGCCCUUUUGUUGGGAAAGAAAAGCAGCAGGUUAAUACCCCGCUGUUCUGACGGUACCCAAAGAAUAAGCACCGGCUAACUUCGUG
rnacentral:rRNA from 1 species